rnacentral:rRNA from 1 species
AUGAAUACAAGUCAGCGUUGCAGUGAUUUAUUAUGGAUGCCGCACAGCCAACAUAAAAUAUCCAAAUCUUGGGAAAAUCGUAACAUUUGCUUGAAUGUUCGGUGUCACCGUGUUGGCAUUCCAGUGGAUCCUCUAUGUAGAGCAGCCUUAGAGAACCUUGGUUUUUAUCAAAUUGCAAAAAUGAAGAAAAUCAAUGUCGACAAAUAUUUGAUAUCAGCAUUGGUCGAGCGUUGGCGGCCUGAGACAAAUACUUUUCAUUUACCUAUAGGAGAAAUGACCGUUACACUACAAGACGUGAGUUGUUUGUGGGAGUUGCCUAUCCAUGGUAAACCACUUAUUGGCAAAGAUGAUGCUGCAUGGUCUGGAUUAAUUGAGAGGUUACUUGGGAUUCCUAUAGAUGAACAACACAUGAAGCAAAAGAGAAGGCGGAAAGAUGAUGACAAUAUUGCUGUGAAGAAUUCAUAG